AUUGAACGCUGGCGGCAGGCCUAACACAUGCAAGUCGAAAGCGUGGCGGACGGGUGAGUAAUGUCUGGGGAACUGCCUGGUCGAGGGGGAUAACUACUGGAAACGGUGGCUAAUACCGCAUACCAUCGGAUGUACCCAUAUGGGAUUAGCUAGUAGGUUGGGUAAAGGCUCACCUAGGCGACGAUCCCUAGCUGGUCUGAGAGGAUGACCAGCCACCCUGUAACUGAGACACGGUCCAGACUCCUACGGGAGGCAGCAUUGGGGAAUAGUGCACAAUGGGCGCAAGCCUGAUGCCGCCAGGCCGCGUGUAUGAAGAAGGCCUUAGGGUUGUAAAGUACUUUCAGCGGGGAGGCGUUACCCGCAGAAGAAGCACCGGCUAACUCCGUGCCAGCAGCCGCGGUAAUUC
rnacentral:rRNA from 1 species